rnacentral:lncRNA from 13 species
CUUAGGCAGGCUGAAUGUGCUCCCCAUGGCCAGUAAGAAGAAAAAUCUCUUGUGCAUGCAGUUAUAGGAGUUCAAAGUCAGCAAAUAGAUGAGAGAAAAAGAAUGAAAAGGAUUUGCAAACUAUAAAUCUCUAAGCAGUUGGGAGGAAAGGAAUUGAUGAAACAAUAAAUGAGACGAUAGAAACCAUAAAGAACCAAAGGUGAGGAAACAGAAACUCAUGAACAUGAAGAAACUCAUCCAAGGUUUCUCUGCAAAUACACGGAACCUUCUUCCCCAGAUGGUCAUUGCAAACAACUUCUAUCAUCCUGGCUAAAGCUCACAUAGCCUUGAAUCUGCCGACGCUAAAAGCUCCUCACCUGAGUGCUGAACCCAGCCUAUUUUUCUCUCUCACUCAGUAUGAGUGGAAUUCUAUUUCUGUGUCUUCACGUUUACUGAUUUAUCCUGUCAUCUUCACUCUACCAUUGAGGCAAACCAACC